rnacentral:lncRNA from 1 species
CUCAUCUCUUUCUUCCUUUCUCCCACAUUCCUUUCACAAUCAUACAACUUAUUCUUUUUCUUCCUCAAGCUCUCAACGGCAACUUCAAUCUUCAAUCUUAGAUCCAAACAGUUCUGGGGUUAUGGUUUAGAAAGGUUUGUACUCUGUAUAUAUUUUCUAUGUAUUUCUGGGCGGUGUAGUUGUAUACUUUUUUGUCUUGGUUUAGGCU